rfam:Ictidomys tridecemlineatus contig107570, whole genome shotgun sequence.
AGGGUUGUGGCUCAGUGGUAGAGCGCUUGCGUAGCACACAUGAGACAUUGAGUUCAAUUCUCAGCACCACAU